GAGUUUACUAAGGAGAGUGCUCUGCCAGCUAUUCUACUAACAAGAACCAUGAUGCAGCGAUUAACAAUAUCCCGAUGCGAUAAAAAUAAAAACCUAAAAUAACUUGCUUUAACUUACUUUAAUUUAAUGAUUCAGUAAACAUAUUUAAUCAGCAUAAAGCACUCGAUUAAAGCUAAAAUUCCACGA